AACGUAGGAGACAAACGUUAUCCGGAGUUACUGGGCGUAAAGGGCGUGUAGGCGGUCUGUUAAGUCUGGCGUGAAAGCUCUCGGCUAAACCGGGAGAGGUCGUUGGAUACUGCCGGGCUAGAGGACGGAAGAGGCAAGUGGAAUUCCUGGUGUAGCGGUGGAAUGCGCAGAUAUCAGGAGGAACACCUAUAGCGAAGGCAGCUUGCUGGGACGUUACUGACGCUAAGGCGCGAAAGCGUGGGGAGCGAACAGG
rnacentral:rRNA from 1 species